CUUGGUUACACCAGUUGGCAUCAGUGUAGAGCUUCUGAAGUAACUAGAAAGCUGAAAUUAGUGAAUUUGUGUUGCAGGCAGAAGAGGCAUCUAGUAAAGACCAAACUGCUUCCUUAUGGGAACACAUCCAAUUCAAUCUUCUCAUCAUCUAUGAGAUACUUCCCCAGAAAUCUUAACAUCAGAUGUUCCAGUUGCUGGCUUUGUUUGGUGCUGUCUUUCUCAAACAAGUAGCAUGAACUAAUCAGGCCACUUUUGUGAGUGAGUGAAGAUUACAGGUAAA